AUUGAACGCUGGCGGCAUGCCUUACACAUGCAAGUCGAACGGCAGCACGGGAGCUUGCUCCUGGUGGCGAGUGGCGAACGGGUGAGUAAUACAUCGGAACGUACCCAGGAGUGGGGGAUAACGUAGCGAAAGUUACGCUAAUACCGCAUAUUCUGUGAGCAGGAAAGCGGGGGAUCGCAAGACCUCGCGCUCUUGGAGCGGCCGAUGUCGGAUUAGCUAGUUGGUGCGGUAAAAGCUCACCAAGGCGACGAUCCGUAGCAGGUCUGAGAGGAUGAUCUGCCACACUGGGACUGAGACACGGCCCAGACUCCUACGGGAGGCAGCAGUGGGGAAUUUUGGACAAUGGGGGCAACCCUGAUCCAGCCAUGCCGCGUGAGUGAAGAAGGCCUUCGGGUUGUAAAGCUCUUUCGGCGGGGAAGAAAUGGCAACGGCUAAUAUCCGUUGUUGAUGACGGUACCCGCAUAAGAAGCACCGGCUAACUACGUGCCAGCAGCCGCGGUAA
rnacentral:rRNA from 1 species